UUUACUGGGGGAAUCUGAGACAUGUCUGUUUGAUGAAGUAAGCUACAGAACUGGCCCGGUGACUGAAAAAUGUCUCAAAUAUUCAGACCUGGUUUACAGGUACUUGAGAUUGACUCCCUAUUACUAGGUAAACAUCACAGCUUCUCUUUGUGUUCAUGGCCGACUCAGGUCUACCAAAUAACUAAUCGAGACUAGAGCUUCUCCCUCAGAACUGAAUGGCUAGGAAAUAUGCUUCUGACCACCAAAGGAACCUCAUGGAACUGUAGAUUGAAGUUGCAUGUCAGAAUAAAAGUACCCUGGGAUCUAAGAUCAUCUGUUUUCAAGCUGCACACCAGAUAUAUGCCUGUCCUCCAUGUCUACACCUGUGCAGCUUAUCAAGAGUUUAAGUAAGGAACAGACCUAGGGACUAUAAUUCAGCUUGUAAGAAGAACCCUCUGAUUGCCGUUAAGCCUCAAAAGGAGUCCUCAGAGAUAAGAAUUUUCUAGAGUUCACUGAAGAGUUGGAGAAGGACUAGGGAGUGCCUGGAUCUUCUCCUCUACAAAAGAUUAAGCUAAAGAUAUGGGCAUCCUAAACUAUGAAGAAGAGUUAGAUGGUGAGGCAAUUCUAGGAGCUUAUGAGAUUCUUACCAGAAAUGGAGUGGUCUCAUCUUGUCUCAUACACCUGUGCUACUGAUGAAAGGCUUGUGGAGGACACAGAGCUAGGAGCUGCCAACCAAUCUGGGUGUCAGACCAAGAGUGGAUUAUACCACCAAGUAAAACAAGUAUCAGACAUUCAUGAUCUUCCCUGAAGAUAUGUACAGCUGAACACAACCUUGAGGAAACAUCAAUGCUUGAAUAACCACUUAGCCUGUUGGAAGAUUGUUAGGAGAUUUGCCUUAGACUCUCAAAGAUUUCACACAAGAAAUCAACUGACCCCAUCACUGCUGCCCAGACAUGGACUAUGAAAACAACCUAAAAAAAAGAGGAGACCUAGCUGUUGACAGCCAUCCAGGUACAUUGAAAAAGGCUCUCAUUGCUGCCUGAACUCUCUAAGACUCAACACAAGAUGAGGAAGCUCUAAAGAAGAGUUGGAAGCUGAAGUGCAGUAAUGGGACCUUCCUUCACUGAAUAAGGUAGUAAGGGCAUUCACCUUCAACAGGAUGGUGUAUGACAUUUCUCCUCUCUGUGCAAGGGUUUUCCAAUUCAUACCUUUGCCCUAAACAGGUCACAAAGGGCCAGUGCUUCCACUCUCCUCAAGUUAUUUUAUUCCUUUUGCUACAAUGAUGAAAAUGGUAGACCUCCCUCCUAGCCUACUGAAGACCUUCCCCAUUUUCCUAAGGCGGUCUCAAGUAUUCAUUUUGUGGCAAAGACCCUCAAACUUUACCUUUGAAUAAAGAGGCCCCAUAUUAAAUAUCUCUUACACCACUCACACUGUAACAGUGAGAGUCAGAUUUGACCACAUUCAGUCCAGUGUAGUGAAAGGGGGAGCUAUGAUUACAAACUUAAAUCACAAAAAUUACAAAGAUCCCAUUUUUUGUCAAGAGGUGUCUGGGCUAUUCCACACUGAUGAAUAAGAGCUCAGAAUUGCAACCAAAGGGUUGCAAAUCAUUCACUCUGUAUUUGAUUGAGCUACAGGUCCAGCCACUGAAGCUGGGAGGCCCUAGAGCAUCCCCUUCCUUUCAUGGACACAUUUCACUUGACCCUUGGACUCCUAUUACCUUAGUGCCAAUCCCAGGGGCUAAGAUUGCUAAUAAAACACUUUUGUAACCAUGGGACCUCACAAGAUUCUAGGUAGAGGGGAAAAUGUAAAAAGCUUAAACUAAUAAUCAUGCCAUAUGCCUAGAAUGUAGCUGUCAGAAAUGCAAAAUGUUCUCAUCUUUUAUGUAAACGAAGACUGUACUUAUGUUUCCCAACUGCCCAAACACAAAUAAUUACACAGAAAAUAUAUUAAUUACAAUUCUACGUAGACUAUUAGCUCAGGAUUCUUAUUAACUAACUUUUACACCUUAAAUUAACCCAUUUUUAUCAAUCUAUGUAUCACCAUAUGGCUGUGUAAUACUGGAAAAGUUCUGGUAUAGUUCUACUUCAGUAGCUACAUGUCCUCUCCUGGACUCCACCUAAUUUCUUUUUAUAUCUCUUCCAGUCUGGCUAUAUUCUGCCCUCCCAUAGGUCAAAGCAGAUUUAUUCAUUAACCAAAAAAAAAAAAGAAAAGCAUAUACAGAAGGACAUUCCACAUCACUUACAUUGAUGGAUAAACACAGAUCAAUACAAC